AACGAACGCUGGCGGCAUGCCUAACACAUGCAAGUCGAACGAGACCUUCGGGUCUAGUGGCGCACGGGUGCGUAACGCGUGGGAACCUGCCCUUAGGUUCGGAAUAACUCCCCGAAAGGGGUGCUAAUACCGGAUAAUGUCUUCGGACCAAAGAUUUAUCGCCUUUGGAUGGGCCCGCGUUGGAUUAGCUAGUUGGUAGGGUAAAAGCCUACCAAGGCGACGAUCCAUAGCUGGUCUGAGGGGAUGAUCAGCCACACUGGACUGAGACACGGCCCAGACUCCUACGGGAGGCAGCAGUGGGGAAUAUUGGACAAUGGGCGAAAGCCUGAUCCAGCAAUGCCGCGUGAGUGAUGAAGGCCUUAGGGUUGUAAAGCUCUUUUACCCGGGAUGAUAAUGACAGUACCGGGAGAAUAAGCUCCGGCUAACUCCGUG
rnacentral:rRNA from 1 species